AAAAGGUGUUAGUUCAUCUAGACAGCAGGACGGUGGCCAUGGAAGUCGGAAUCCGCUAAGGAGUGUGUAACAACUCACCUGCCGAAUGAACUAGCCCUGAAAAUGGAUGGCGCUCAAGCGUGCUACCCAUACCUCGCCGCCCGGGUAGAAACGAUGCCCGGGCGAGUAGGCAGGCGUGGAGGCCCGUGACGAAGGCUCGGGGU
rnacentral:rRNA from 1 species